rnacentral:misc_RNA from 1 species
GAUGAAGAACGCAGCGAAAUGCGAUACGUAAUGUGAAUUGCAGAAUUCAGUGAAUCAUCGAGUCUUUGAACGCACCUUGCGCCCUUUGGCUAUUCCGAAGGGCAUGCCUGUUUGAGUAUCAUGAACACCUCAACUCUCAUGGUUUUUCCAUGAUGGGCUUGGACUUUGGGGGUCUUGCCGGCCUAUGGUCAGCUCCUCUUAAAUGAAUCAGCUUGCCAGUGUUUGGUGUGGCAUCACAGGUGUGAUAACUAUCUACGCUUGUGGUUUUCCAUCAAGUAACCUUCAGUGAUGGAGGUUCGCUGGGGCUCAUAAAGGCCUCUCCUCGGUGAGGAUGGCUCCUUUGAACGUUUGAUCUCAAAUCAGGUAGGACUACCCGCUGAACUUAAGCAUAUCAAUAAGCGGAGGA